AUACGUAGGGUGCAAGCGUUAAUCGGAAUUACUGGGCGUAAAGCGUGCGCAGGCGGUUCGGAAAGAAGGAUGUGAAAUCCCAGGGGUCAACCUUGGAACUGCAUUCUUAACUACCGAACUCGAGUAUGUCAGAGGGGGGUAGAAUUCCGCGUGUAGCAGUGAAAUGCGUAGAUAUGAGGAGGAAUACCGAUGGCGAAGGCAGCCCCCUGGGAUAAUACUGACGCUCAUGCACGAAAGCGUGGGUAGCAAACAGGAUUAGAUACCCUGGUAGUCCACGCCCUAAACGAUGUCAACUAGCUGUUGGGCCCUUCGGGGCUUAGUAGCGUAGCUAACGCGUGAAGUUGACCGCCUGGGGAGUACGGUCGCAAGAUUAAAACUCAAAUGAAUUGACGGGG
rnacentral:rRNA from 1 species